rnacentral:rRNA from 1 species
AUGAAGCGGAAGUUCAUUAUGAUGCCAGUGCUCAUCGAAGGUCCGAAGCAACCCGGCAACGACAUCGAUGUGUACCUAAGGCCAUUAGUUGAUGAACUUUUACAGCUGUGGGGUGGUGUCCGUGUGUGGGAUGAGCACAAACAAGAGGAAUUUGACCUACGAGCGUUGCUUUUCGUAACCAUCAACGAUUGGCCUGCUCUUAGUAACCUUUCGGGACUGUCAAAUAAGGGAUACAAUGCAUGCACGCACUGCUUACAUGAGACUGAAAGUGUACAUUUGCCAAAUUGUAAGAAGAACGUGUACCUUGGGCAUCGUCGAUUUCUUCCGAAAAUUCAUCCAGUAAGAAAGAAAGGCAAGCAUUACAACGGCAAGGCAGAUCACCGGCCGAAGCCUGCGGAACGCACUGGUGCUGAGGUAUUUGAUAUGGUCAAGGAUUUGAAAGUCAUCUUUGGAAAGGGUCCUGGCGGACAAUCAGUUCCAAAGGGAGCUGACGGGCACGCAGCCAUGUGGAAGAAGAAAUCUAUAUUCUGGGAGCUAGAAUAUUGGAAAGUCCUAGAUGUCCGCUCUGCAAUCGACGUGAUGCACGUUACGAAGAAUAUUUGCGUGAACCUCCUAAGCUUCUUGGGCGUGUAUGGGAAGACAAAUGAUACAAAGGAAGCACGGCAGGACCAGCAACGUUUGAAAGACCCUGAUGACCGGCAUCCGGAAUGGUUUCAAGGUCGUGCCAGCUACGCUCUGACCAGAGAAGAGAAGGUCAUCUUUUUUGAAUGCCUGAGCAGUAUGAAGGUCCCGUCUGGAUUCUCGUCCAAUAUAAAGGGAAUAAUAAACAUGGCGGAGAAAAAGUUCCAAAACCUGAAGUCUCACGACUGCCACGUGAUUAUGACGCAAUUGCUUCCGAUUGCUUUGAGGGGGCUCCUGCCGGAAAAUGUUCGAGUAGCCAUUGUGAAGCUAUGUGCAUUCCUCAAUGCAAUCUCUCAGAAGGUAAUCAAUCCAGAAGUUCUACCACGGUUACAGAACGAUGUGAUCCAAUGUCUUGUCAGUUUCGAGUUGGUGUUCCCGCCAUCCUUCUUCAAUAUUAUGACGCACCUCCUGGUUCACCUAGUCGAAGAGAUUUUCGUUCUCGGUCCUGUAUUUCUACACAAUAUGUUCCCCUUCGAGAGGUUCAUGAGAGUAUUAAAGAAAUAUGUUCGUAACCGUGCUAGGCCAGAAGGAAGCAUCGCCAAGGGCUAUGGAAAUGAGGAGGUAAUUGAGUUUUGUGUUGACUUUGUUCCUGACCUUAAGCCGAUUGGUCUUCCUCGAUCGCGGCACGAGGGGAGACUAAGUGGAAAAGGCACGAUCGGAAGGAAAUCAACGAUAUGUAUGGACGGCCAUUCUCUGACUGAAGCACACCACACUGUACUGACCAAUUCCAGCUUGGUGGCUCCGUACUUUGAGAAACACAAGAAUAUUUUACGCUCGGACAACCCGGGGAAGCCUGAAUCCUGGAUUAGGAAGGCCCACAUGGAGACUUUCGGCAGUUGGUUGAGAAAACAUUUAAUGAAUGACAAUGAUGUUGUAGAUCAGCUGUACAUGUUGGCCAAGACACCAUCUUCGACUAUAACGACUUUCCAAGGGUACGAGAUAAAUGGGAAUACAUUUUACACGAUCGCCCAAGAUAAAAACAGCACCAACCAAAACAGUGGUGUCUGCUUUGAUGCAGCAACCGAGAAUGGGCAAAAGGUCACAUAUUAUGGUUACAUAGAGGAGAUAUGGGAACUUGACUAUGGACCCUCCUUUAAGGUCCCUUUGUUCCGGUGCAAAUGGUUCAAGCUAACAGGAGGUGGGGUAAAGGUGGACCAGCAAUACGGAAUGACAAUGGUGGAUUUCAACAAUCUUGGUUACCUUGACGAACCAUUCGUCCUAGCGAAAGAUGUCGCUUAG